GUGCAGCAGGCGCGAAAACUCCGCAAUGCGCGAAAGCGUGACGGGGUCACCCCGAGUGCCGUCCGCUGAGGAUGGCUUUUGCCUGGUCUAACCAGCCGGGUGAAUAAGGGGAGGGCAAGUCUGGUGUCAGCCGCCGCGGUAAUACCAGCUCCCCGAGUGGUUGGGACGAUUAUUGGGUCUGAAGCGUCCGUAGCCGGCCGGAAAAGUUCCCCGUUAAAUCCAGUGAUUUAAUCGUUGGAUUGCGGGGGAUACUGUUCGGCUAGGGGAUGGGAGAAGCCAACGGUAUUCCCGGGGUAGGGGUGAAAUCCUAUAAUCCCGGGAGGACCACCAGUGGCGAAGGCGGCCGACUAAAACGCGCCCGACGGUGUGGGACGAAAGCUGGGGGAGCGAACGGGAUUAGAUAUGAAGUUGAGUUUUUACCAGCUUCACUAGAAACCCGGGUAGUCC
rnacentral:rRNA from 1 species